rnacentral:lncRNA from 1 species
AUUUUUGCUACUAAUGAGUUCUCGGAAGGUAUAUAAAUUAGAGGUCUUAUCAUCUAUGUCAUCUCUUUGCACAUUCAACACUUGUGCUUCACAUAAUUUCUUUUAUAAUGAAAGAGUAAAUAUUAUAGUUGUGAAUUUGCCAAUAUUUUUCUGUUUGAAAGAUUAAGAUUUAAGAACAAUAUAGUGUUGAAUUAAAAGAGUUCCCGAAG